UCGACUUGACCGUCUGCGGCUGCGGUCUGGAGGACGGCGCGGCCAGCAAGUGUGUGGCCAGUGCCAUCACAGACACCAUCAGCCUCACGUACCUGAACUAAACGCAAUAGGCAAAACGAUUAUAAUAUUAUGUGUUGUUUUUAUUCAAAAUUGUGUUAAAAGCUAGGAAAGCUGUGUCUUAUCGUUUAUAAGCUGUGUAAACAAACACACACAUUUUAUGGAAGACUAUAUAACGACUACUAAGCUCUAAGCCUGCAACCUCCAAUUGGUGUCUCUUGAAUAACGUUAAAUUCAAUUCAAUAUUACCAGAGUUUUAUUGUUUCCAUAAUAAGUGACAAAAAAUGAAAAAAUAUACCCUAGAACAGCUGACGAAGUAUCUAAUAAUUGUAUAAGUAUAAUGUAUACAAUGUAGGGCUGUUUUUGUUGAAGCAGAUAUUAUAUGAUUCGUAAAUCGAUUUUCUUAUUGUGAGUUCAAUAGAUAUUUAAUAGUUAUUUAAGCAGUCCGCUGUAUUAGUUGUUAAAUUUGUGUCACUGAAUAAUCAGAUAUUAUAAUGUUGAUUUCAUUGGCAGUCAUUACUUAUCUAUAAGUAUUUAUUUGUUCUUUCUGCAUCCUGCCCAAGACAUUAGAAUUCGUCAACAUUUACCUUUGGAUUUUAUGAU